rnacentral:rRNA from 1 species
GACGAACCGUGCGAACGUUGUUCGGAAUCACUGGGCUUAAAGGGCGCGUAGGCGGACCAUCAAGUCGGGGGUGAAAUCUUUCAGCCCAACUGGAAAAGGGCUUCCGAUACUGGUGGUCUCGAGGGAGGUAGGGGUCGAGGGAACUAAUGGUGGAGCGGUGAAAUGCGUAGAUAUCAUUAGGAACGCCGGUGGCGAAAGCGCUCGACUGGACCUCUUCUGACGCUGAGGCGCGAAAGCCAGGGGAGCAAACAGG